AAAAAUGCUGCAAUGAUAAGGGGUCGAAUUCACGGGGUAAGAGCAAGCGGAAGCUACGAGCGCCUCCUCUCCCGCUCGCGCUCGCGCCGCCGCCUCCGCUGAGAGGACCUGGCGGUCUCCUCUCCCACUCGCGCCUCUCCCUCUCCUCUUUCUCCUGCUCGCCUCUCACCUGAUCCCUAGCCCACCGCCCGCCUCCCUGCCCCGCCGCCGCCCGCCACCGCCUGCUGCCGCCGCCGCCCGCCGCCGUCUCGUCUGAACCGGCAAGACGCCAAACCCAGCGCCCCCUCCCGUCCUCGGCCAUCCAGCCCCCAACCCCACCCCACCCACCUGUCCCCUCCCUCCCAAACCCCAGAAUCCCCUGCCCGCGCCGACCCAACCAAUCCCGCACCCACGCGCCCGCACAUGCGCAGCAGCAGGGCGUCGACGACGAGGACGACGACGACGACGCGGCGCAACGGAGGGGUGCAGGUCAGCGAAGGGCACAGGCCACUGCUCACGCCGCUGCUGCGCUCGGUGCUCAACAGGAGUAGCUCGUGCUACGUCCGCACCGCCGGAGAGGACGCCAAGAUGAGCAUGGAGGUGCAUGGGUUGCGCAUUCGGAUGAAGACUCAGUAGGUGGAGCAGCAAGAGGUGCCCCUCCGUAGGGCAGAUUUGUGGCCACACAUCUAUCACCAGCUGGUCCAUAUAGAGGAGGAGAUAAGGUACAUAUCAAGACACCUUUCUCCGUGACUUCCGUUGUUGAUGGUCAUGAUUCUGUUUAGUUACAGGGCGUGGGGUGCUCUUCUUGGAAGACGGUUAGCGGAGCGUGGAAUUAUAGUCGCUUGCAUUGAUUAUAGAAAUUUGCCCCAAGGAACAAUAAGUGACAUGGUCAGUGAUGCUUUUGAGGCAUUUUCAUUUAUUUGUGAUACUAUUGCUAGCUAUGGAGGAGAUCCUAAUCAGAACUAUGCGCCACACUUGAAUAUUUGAUCCUUUUGGGCGGUGAUUCUAUCCAAAGUCGUUGUUGUGACGUCGGUGAGCAACCUCGGGCACCACACUGAGUGCUACCGCCUCCCCACCACUCAUGACGCCAGGCUGUUCUACUUCUUCGAAUUCAGGUGGCACAAGGAGGACCCAGUGGUGAUCUGGCUGAUGGGAAGGCCCGGCUACUGCAGCGAGCUAGCCCUCUUCUACGAGAACGGCGCCUUCCACAUAGCAGACAACAUGUCGCUACUCUGGAAUGAGUUUGGUUGGGAUCAGGUAUAUUAUAUAUACCGACAGUUUGCGUACUAAUCAAUCAAUCUGUAUAAUAUUUUUCUUAGAGAUUGUUUAGACCCUGUAUAAUCUUCUCUCUGUUUGGAAUUGGAUAUUGGCUACUGCAGGAGUCGAAUCUUAUCUAUGUUGAUCAGCAAACUGGGACUGGGUUCAGCUACAUGUCUGAUUCUGAUUAUUCACUAUAUGUAGUUUUGCAAUUGAUGCGAUUAGGAUAUUACUGGGGGAUUUUAUCUAGGUUCCAGGGUGUUGAAAAUUAAAAAGAAUGUAACUAAAAUUUUACUAAAUUUAAAGCUGCAUGUAAGAUUUAUGGUUUAAAAAGAACAUACUUCCAAGUUCCAGAUCAGUUUGCGGUGUGUGUGUGCGCGCGCUCAAAAGGUAUAAUUUAGUUUAAUGGAUGCUAUGCAUCUUGAGAGUACUUGAUCUUUGUAUAUGUAUUACAGUUUGCCAUCUGGUGUCAAUCUAAUUUCUUAACACGAAAAUGAGCAAUUGUGAUGCACCUCUUCUUUCCUAAUAAUAGUUUGCUUCUGACUAGCGACUGGUGGCGCUGGGUGCGCUUGCUUACUUUGUCGCGCAACUUCUUUGAUCACCGCGUAGAACCUGACCUGGGUGUUGCAGGGAGGCGUGCAACGACGGCAUGAAGAACAACAUCGAGACCAUACGUUCGGUUUCUCUGUGCCCGCUCUGCUGCCAUCCACACCCGCACUAUCCCAGCUCUUGUGCCGGCUCGAGGAGAAGCUCAGGCCGCCACCACACAAAGGGAGAGGAACCCAAGAUGAAUCUAUCCCGCCUUACUGUCCAUGACCCGACGACAGACAGCUACUUCGAGCCUAGGCUCGUCGGCGGGGCAGUGCAAGGUGUAACUCCGACGUGGUUCCUCGCCGGUUGGACGGUGUUCAGGCGCAACCCGGUGCCCACUGAGUACUGCCUCGGCUACAACCUCCCUUGGUGAGCUCCAUCUUCCUCCUGCUCAUCUGCUUCGGCUACUGCAUUGGACAUGGCCGUGGCUAUAUUGAUGUGGUGCUCGUCUGGUUGAUGCUCUAUUCCCUGCUCAUGCAUCGGUUCCUACUUGAGCUCUUUAGUUGUAGAUGCAUGCUAUUCUAGGGUUUGCAGGCUGAGUUCAUGUUUGGUUUCUAUCAUAGGAGUUCCUGCGAUGAUCUGGUUUACAUGUGGAUGCUCUGGUUGUAUAGUUAUGCUCCUGGAUUUGCAAAAUUGACCAGUAGUGUUCGUGCUAGAGCGAUGAUGAUUAACCUUGACUGAAAUAAGUGUGCCUUUGAGCAAUCGAGGCACCCGUGGGUAUCAAGCUGGAUCCUCCCUCUUGUCUCUAGAGUCCUUUUUGAUCCUGUGAUACUUGUUGUUAUGUCCUAGGAUGGUCAUUCUUGUUGAGUGAUAACCAGGGCAGCUCCAUUGUAUAAACAGAUUGAUCUAUGAUAAGAGAUGACGGGGGUAGGUUAUAUGAUCGAGGAAAGCCGAAUCUGAGCCCACUAUGCAAUGAACCCUGAACUAUUUUUAUUUGUACUUAAAGGUGUUACUUAUUUAUGCUCCGAUGGCUUUCGUGCUGGGGCGAUGAUGAUUAGCCGUGUCUGAAAUAAGUGUGCCUUCGAGCAAUCGAGGCACCUGUGGGUAUCAAGUUGAAUCCUCCCUCUUGUCUCUAGAAUCCUUUUUGAUCCUGUGAUACUUGUUGCUCUGUCCUUGGAUGGUCAUUCUUGUUGAGUGAUAACCAGGGCAGCUCCACUGUAUAAAAAGAUUGAUCUGGUGAUAAGAGACGGGGGUAGGUUAUAUGAUCGAGGAAAGUCAGAUCUGAGCCCACUAUGCAAUGAACCCUGGAUCCUUUUUAUUUGUAUUUAAAGGUGUUGCUUAUUUAUGCUCCGGUGUUUAUAGUCGUCUUAUGUAAAGAUUUCUUCUCUCUCAUACCUUUAUUGCAUAUGAGUUGUUCUUGAUCUUUUAUUGUUUGUUGUUGAUCCUUGAUUUAAUCUGGUUAAGAGUAAGCUGCACUUUGUUAUACUAGAAAGACAUGCUCCCAGCAAGUUAUAGGGGCCUCUCUUGCUGCCUUAAGUUUGUAUGGUAAAGUAUGCAUCAUGUGUGCCUCUGUUUUGUUUCCCUCUUGUAUUCCUAUGUCUUGCCUCACAUAUCAUGGCACUUGAUAUAUGCAUGGUUGUUGGCGAUCGGACGCCACCACCGCCGCCGAUGCCAUCGUGGCUCUUGCCGCCGUCAAACAUUAAGUAAGUCGUGACCUUCUCUUUUUUUUCUUAGUGAUAUGCGCAUGGUUGCAACUACUCUACUGAUUACAAAAGAAACAUGAGCAUGGCAGAGGUUGGUUACAAAAGUUUCCUUCGUUCUUUCAUGUUGGAGUCAGUGGCAGUACCUUGCCAGUUAAGUUGCCUUCUUUCCUAUUAGAAAGCAGUGUAUGCUCUCUAGCUACUUAGUUUUCUUUCUUGGCUGUAGUUUAUUUCAUAUUUGUAGUUUCAAAAUGAUAUGUCAAACAUGCUCUAAUUUUUUCAUGCCAUUAGAGAUUUCGGCUCAUAUUACUUCCUCUAUGUUUAUGGUUGGGUAGUGGUGCUUUACUGAUUAGGUAUUCUCAAUCAUGUAUCAUAUCUACGUUCAAAAAUAUGUUGGAGUCAGUAGCUGCGACCGUGGUUCAGCCUGCAAUUCCUGUUGGCUAUGCUGAUGGCCCUACCGCUGUGAUUGAUGCCGAUGUCCUUCUGUAGUGACAGAUGUUGCACGCCAGAUAGGUCUCGACGGCGUGCAGUAUUUAGUUUUAGCUUUAUUGUGUGAGUUGUUUGUGUUUUUCUGGUUUUCCAUUGGUCCUAAACUGUACAUCGAAAUCAGUGUAGAUGUAUUAAGAGAGAUGAGCUACUAUGUAGGCAUUAUUUGUUUUUGUUAUGUACCUGGUUACUUAAUAAUCGUUCUUAAUAUUGGAAAGGGACAGAAAUAAGCUGAGUAUUUGAUCUGACUUGGUAGUGUUUGCCGUUUAACACAUCUAUGUCAUUAGACCAGUUCUUUUUUCUUCUCACAGUUUGUCAUUUAGAAUGAUUUUUUAGAGGAACCAGGAACUGGUUCCUGAUUCACUUUGUCCUCUUUGUUGAUGAUCCUUUUCUUCCUAUGGUUAUGCAGGCUUGAGUCUCAGUUUGAUCUUACGGUUCAAAGGUUGAUGACUGCCAUGAGGCACUACCCAGUUAAAUCUUCAUAAGUUGUUGAGCAUGAACUUUUCUUCUUAAUUAUUUUCAUCUUCUUAGCCUUGCCACAUCAUCUCUUAAAAAUAGUUUGAAUCCAUCAACUGUGUGCUCUGCCUAUGCAAUUCAUUGAACCGUAAGAUUAAAACCUUCAUAAGGUGUAGCCCUGUCUCCAACUACCUUCUGAAUAUUAACAUUUUUGUUGGAAAAAGAAGAAAGAUUGAAUCAUAGUUUGCAUUAAAUGAAAAUGAGUUUUUUUUACAUUUUGUUCACUCACUAGGAGGGUCACUAUUUAUAUGCUUGCUUCAACUUUUUCCGGAUCACCAUGUAAAUCAUUUGUACAGGAGCUCUGGAACAAGAAAAACAAUAAUCACAAGGAUGGAGGCUUAACAUGUAUUUUGUUUGCCAUCUGGUGUUUAUCUAAUUUUUUGAUGGUGUGACCAAAACCAGAUUACCUUUUCUAAUGUUAGUAUUGGAGUGCUAUCUGCAAUGGCAUCUACUAUAUAUAUACUGAAAGUAGUUUUAUUUAUCUUUAGAACUUGAUAUAUUUUCUAAAACCACAUAUUAUGCUUCUAUUUGUAUCUAUGACUUCUGAAGCAAGUCAACACCCACACAGGCAAACAAACCAAACUGCCGGUAGAGUCACCGUAUAUAAGGAAAUUUACUUUGCUUCCAGUAGUGGGUUUAGGCUUGAUAGAAGCUUGGUUGUUUAUAUUUUCAGAAAACUGGAUCUAUCAUGAUUAAGAUAUGGUCAACAUGUAUAUAUUUGGUUCUACUGUGCCCUCCAGUGUUGCUUACCAAUGUGAUUGCUUAAUGAUUACUAUGACAUAUCUUGCUAGGUCCAAGCUGACAACAAUCCUCUUGGUCUUAAAAAUUUUGUCGAGGCGGCAGGGAUCAAAGAAUAACAGAUCUGGGUCUUCGCCUUCUAAGAUUAGAAGGGGGAAACCAUCGCUCACUGUCCAUAUGCUUUAAAAGCAAAUCUCAAGUGCAUUGCCUAUACAAAAAUAAUUUUGUGGUCAUCUAUCUCACAAACUAUUCACAUCAAGUUCAUAUGGAAUGGCACUCACGGAGGCAAUUGAGCCAAGCUAUCUAUUGUAUGCCUAACUAUGGCUUCGUAGUUUUAUUGCCUCCAUUGCCAUUGUUUGCUUUUUCUCUCUUAUGUUUCUGCUCAUAUUACUGAACUUAAUGUUAGCUAAUUAGUUUUUCUA